AAAAAAUAUCGUUGCGCGACUCGUGUUCUGCCAGCUGCUUUCAAAAUUGCAAUACAUUUGAUAAACAAACCAAUAAACACAUUCAGCGGGAUGUAACUAAUUAGAAGUGGCAUCUAAGAUGACUGGAAAGCCGUCCAUGGCUUAUUGAGCGCCUUUGAGAAGAUCUUCGUGGGGCCAAGCGCAUUCAGGGCAGAUUGGACAUCAGAUGCAGAAGCAAUGAAGCUGCGGGAGCGCUGUUCAAUCAACGACAUCCAAAAAGCUAUCAUUGGGCAUGGCUCAAGCACAGAGAGAUUCGAAGUUUCUGGUCUCAGAGCCAGCAAAUGUUCGACAUGGCAAACAGACAAUAUAUCUGCUGAUGUGAUUAUCAUAUAGUAUACAUAGAUAUACGAGUAUUGUAUAUUUAGAUAUAUGUAGAUAUAAAACGUCCAACGUUCCGAAUGUGUGCUAAAGUUAAUGCGUUAAUAAACGUAUGUAAAUAUGUAAUUAAGUAUGAUGGCCACCCAUGAACGAUGUACGAUUUACGUUUUACGAUUUACGAUUUAUAUAUAUGGUACGUAUAGUAUAG